UACGUAGGGCGCAAGCGUUACUCGGAAUCACUGGGCAUAGAGGGCGUGUAGGCGGAAACAUAAGUCCGGUGUGAAAUCCCUCGGCUCAACCGGGGAAUGCCAUUGGAUACUGUGUUUCUUGAGUGCGGGAGGGGAGAGUGGAACUCUUGGUGGAGCGGUGAAAUGCGUAGAUAUCAAGAGGAACGCCGGUGGCGAAAGCGACCCCCUGGUUGGAUACUGACGCUGAGACGCGAAAGCCAGGGGAGCAAACGGG
rnacentral:rRNA from 1 species